rnacentral:rRNA from 1 species
UACGGGAGGGCAGCAGUGGGGAAUAUUGCACAAUGGGCGCAAGCCUGAUGCAGCCAUGCCGCGUGUAUGAAGAAGGCCUUCGGGUUGUAAAGUACUUUCAGUCGUGAGGAAGGUGUUAAGGUUAAUAACCUUAGCAAUUGACGUUAGCGACAGAAGAAGCACCGGCUAACUCCGUGCCAGCAGCCGCGGUAAUACGGAGGGUGCGAGCGUUAAUCGGAAUUACUGGGCGUAAAGGGCACGCAGGCGGUUAAUUAAGUUGGAUGUGAAAUCCCCGGGCUUAACCUGGGAAUGGCAUUCAAGACUGGUUAGCUAGAGUCUUGUAGAGGGGGUAGAAUUCCAUGUGUAGCGGUGAAAUGCGUAGAGAUGUGGAGGAAUACCGGUGGCGAAGGCGGCCCCUGGGACAAAGGACUGACGCUCAUGUGCGAAAGCGUGGGGAGCAAACAGGGAUUAGAUACC